rnacentral:rRNA from 1 species
GUCGAACGGGAUCCCCGCGGGUAGCAAUAUUCGCGGGGUGAGAGUGGCGGAAGGGCGAGGAGCACGUGGGCAAUCUGUCGCGGAGGCGGGGAUAGCGCCGCGAAAGUGGCGAUAAUACCGUGAUGAGGCGUCCGGGCCGCAUGGCCCGGCCGUGAAAGGCGGGGACCGCGAGGCCCGCCCCUCCGUGAGGAGCCCGCGCACCAUCAGCUAGACGGCGGGGUAACGGCCCACCGUGGCUCACGGUUAGCUGGUCUGAGAGGACGAUCAGCCGCACUGGGACUGAGACACUGCCCAGACUCCUACGGGAGGCUGCAGUCGAGGAUCAUUCGCAAUGGGCGGAAGCCUGACGAUGCGACGCUGCGUGGAGGAUGAAGGCCCUCGGGUCGUAAACUCCUGUCAUGGGGGGCGAGGCGGAGCGGGCGAACAGCCCGCCGAGUUGACG